rnacentral:rRNA from 1 species
GGCGCAAAGGGUGCGUAGGCGGCUUUUAAGUUUGGUGUGAAAUCUCCCGGCUCAACUGGGAGGGUGCGCCGAAUACUGAGAGGCUAGAGUGUGGGAGAGGAAAGUGGAAUUCCUGGUGUAGCGGUGAAAUGCGUAGAUAUCAGGAGGAACACCGGUGGUGUAAACGGCUUUCUGGACCAUAACUGACGCUGAGGCACGAAAGCGUGGGUAGCAAACAGGAUUAGAUACCCUGGUAGUCCACGCCCUAAACGAUGCAUAUUUGGUGUGGGCCAUUCAUUUGGUCUGUGCCGGAGCUAACGCGUUAAAUAUGCCGCCUGGGGAGUACAGUCGCAAGGCUGAAACUCAAAGGAAUUGACGGGGGCCCGCACAAGCGGUGGAGCACGUGGUUUAAUUCGACGCAACGCGAAGAACCUUACCUGGGCUCGAAAUGCUAUGGACCAGCUGGUGAAAGCCGGCCUUCCCGCAAGGGACUGUAGUAUAGGUGCUGCAUGGCUGUCGUCAGCUCGUGUCGUGAGAUGUUGGGUUAAGUCCCGCAACGAGCGCAACCCUUGUCCUGUGUUGCCAUCAUUCAGUUGGGAACUCGCAGGAGACCGCCAGGGAUAACCUGGAGGAAGGUGGGGAUGACGUCAAGUCCUCAUGGCCUUUAUGUCCAGGGCUACACACGUGCUACAAUGGACGGUACAAAGGGCUGCCAACCCGCAAGGGGGAGCCAAUCCCAAAAAACCGUUCUCAGUUCGGAUUGCAGGCUGCAACUCGCCUGCAUGAAGCUGGAAUCGCUAGUAAUGGCGGAUCAGACGCCGCC